rnacentral:rRNA from 1 species
GGUGGAUUUUUAGCCCUGGUGGGUAGCUUCCCGGAAACGAAAGUCUUCCGGUUCCGGGGGAAGUAUGGUUGCAAAGCUGAAACUUAAAGGAAUUGACGGAAGGGCACCACCAGGAGUGGAGCCUGCGGCUUAAUUUGACUCAACACGGGGAAACUCACCCGGCCCGGACACCGUAAGGAUUGACAGAUUGAUAGCUCUUUCAUGAUUCGGUGGUUGGUGGUGCAUGGCCGUUCUUAGUUCGUGGAUCGAUUUGUCUGGUUUAUUCCGAUAACGAGCGAGACUCUAGCCUACUAAAUAGUAACGAGAUUAUCAAUGUCUCAGUUGCUUCUUAGAGGGAUUUUCGGUGUUUAGCCGCACGAGAUUGAGCAAUAACAGGUCUGUGAUGCCCUUAGAUGUCCGGGGCUGCACGCGCGCUACACUGGCGAAAUCAGCGUGCUGUAUCCAUUCUCGAAAGGGAUUGGUAAACCCAUGAAAAUUUGCCGUGCUUGGGAUCGGAAAUUGCAAUUAUUUUCCGUGAACGAGGAAUUCCAAGUAAGUGCGAGUCAUCAAC